rnacentral:rRNA from 1 species
ACUCCUACGGGAGGCCAGCAGUGGGGAAUAUUGCACAAUGGGCGCAAGCCUGAUGCAGCCAUGCCGCGUGGUAUGAAAGAAGGCCUUCGGGUUGUAAAGUACUUUUCUAGCAGUGAGGAACGGACGGGUUACGUUAAUAGCGUGCUUGUUUGACGUUAGCUGCAGAAGAAGCACCGGCUAACUCCGUGCCAGCAGACCGCCGGUAAUACGGAGGGUGCGAGCGUUAAUCGGAAUUACUAGGGCGUAAAAGCGCAUGCAGGUGGUUUAGUUAAGUCAGAUAGUGAAAGCCCGGGGGCUACAACCUCGGAAUUGCAUUUGAAACUGGCAAGACUAGAGUACUGUAGAGGGGGGUAGAAUUUC